GCCCCUAUAGCUCAGGCGGAUAGAGCAACGGUUUCCUAAACCGUGUGUCGCACGUUCGAGUCGUGCUAGGGGCACCA
rnacentral:tRNA from 1 species